rnacentral:tRNA from 1 species
UGCCUUGUGUGAAAUGGUAGACACGCGAGACUCAAAAUCUCGUGCUAAAGAGCGUGGAGGUUCGAGUCCUCUUCAAGCAU